CCUACGGGUGGCAGCAGUGGGGAAUAUUGGACAAUGGGGGCAACCCUGAUCCAGCCAUGCCGCGUGUGUGAAGAAGGCCCUCGGGUUGUAAAGCACUUUCAGUGAGGAAGAACGCCUGGUGGUUAAUACCCAUCAGGAAAGACAUCACUCACAGAAGAAGCACCGGCUAACUCCGUGCCAGCAGCCGCGGUAAUACGGAGGGUGCGAGCGUUAAUCGGAAUUACUGGGCGUAAAGCGCGCGUAGGUGGCUUGAUAAGCCGGUUGUGAAAGCCCCGGGCUCAACCUGGGAACGGCAUCCGGAACUGUCAAGCUAGAGUGCAGGAGAGGAAGGUAGAAUUCCCGGUGUAGCGGUGAAAUGCGUAGAGAUCGGGAGGAAUACCAUUGGCGAAGGCGGCCUUCUGGACUGACACUGACACUGAGGUGCGAAAGCGUGGGUAGCAAACAGGAUUAGAUACCCCUGUAGUC
rnacentral:rRNA from 1 species